rnacentral:sRNA from 17 species
ACGUCGGAGCCGCCGAACCUGCCUCGCAGGACCGGGGACCCAGCACCGGCGCACAGCGCCCAGGGGUGAAUCCGGUGUUCGCACCGGUAGGGCGAUCUUCCCCGCCCGAACCCGUCAGCUAACCCGGUAGGCGGUCAAGGGAGAGAGG